UUGAAUGGCCGCGAUAUUUUGAUCGUGCUAAGGUAGCAUAAUCAUUAGUUUUUUAAUUGAAAGCUAGAAUGAAGGGUUGGAUGAAAAAAUAACUUUUUAAAUUUAAUUUUAUUAGAAUUUUAUUUUUAAGUUAAAAAGCUUAAAUAUUUUUAAAAGACGAGAAGACCCUAUAGAGUUUUAUAUAUAUUUUAAAAUAUUUUUUUAGAAUUGAUAUUUUAAUUUAAAAUAUUUAUUUAAUUGGGGUGAUUGAAAAAUUAGAUUAACUUUUUUUAUAUUUUUAUAUAAAUUUAUAAAUUUAUGAUCCAUUAUUAUUGAUUAAAAGAUUAAAUUACCUUAGGGAUAACAGCGUAAUUUUAUUAGAAAGUU
rnacentral:rRNA from 1 species